GGCAGAAUGGCCACCUAACAAUUCGGCUAUAGUUCUUAUUGACAGAACAUCCUGUGAAGUGGAAGCGAUAUCCGACAAGACGCAGUGUAUCCUCCAAGCCAAUGGUCAAUAUACAGUGAUUUUUAACCAUAGCCGGAAUCUGUAGCUCUGAACAAAGAGUUCUCACAGCUCUGUUCUCCACUCAUAAGAGAACUUACUUCUUCAAGAAAGAAUUACUCUACCAGGGAAAUAACAAUUGUUCCAUUCAGUUGGAAGCUGACGUUCCCGUCUGACCAUGGGUUCCUCGUGUCACUGACCAAGAGUCAAAGGAAAGUUCAAUGAGCUGGCUGGUGUAAUGGAUCCUGUUUACUGUAUUGGUAGCUGCAUGAUGCUGGCAUGGCAGGGAGAGCAUAAAUUGCUCCACUGACAAUAAAAGUGAGGACUAAAGAUUUGAGAGGACUAAGAAAAAUCACUGGAAAUCAGAAGAAAUACCACCUCCUUCAAGAAGGGUUCAUUCCUCCUCCUUCUUUUGGACAUCACAGUUUAGUUAUUUGUUUAGACUCUACCUCUUCAUUAGAAGGCAAGAAACAUGUCUUAUUCAGCUUGGUAUAUGCCCAGUUUAGCCUGUAUUCAGCACAAGAAGAUUCCAUGUUUAUCAAGUAAUGAUUGAAUAAAAGAAGGGAUGCUUGGAAACUAGAUUUUAAAGCUCAGUAAUGAAUCUGC